UGAUGUGAGGAUGAUCUGGCUGUGAUAUCUGUCAUCCCAUUGAUCUCCAGGGUUGAUCUGGCUAGCUAGGCGGUGUCCCUUCCUCCCUCAUCACUCCAUGUGCACCCAAGCUGCAUGCUCAGUUGAAGAGGAGACCUUCCUAGCUAGAGGAGGGCCAGUCUUCAGCCAAGGGCAGGUGAGCAUUGCGCUCCACUGCUAGAACCUCCAAACAAGCUCUCAAGGAAAUGGUCAUUAUCUCUGUUUACCCAUCUAGAAAUGGGGAGUUUAAGAGACUUCAGUCUCCAUGACCACAAAGCAAGGACUUAGAGCCUAGGGCUUUUUUU
rnacentral:snRNA from 1 species